UUCGAACGACCACACUCCCUUUUGAAAAUUCACCAUGCCAGCGGCCAGUGGUGGAUUUAUCUUGUUUUUUUUUUUUUUUUUUUUUUUUUUUGUUUUUAUAUUUUAGAGGAUAUUCAAACCUAAAAUCCAAAUUAUUUUCCCCUCGCGUGAAACUAGACGAAAACCCUAAAAAGAAAAUGUGAAUCCUUUUGUUUCUCCAUCUUUUCCAUCUCCGGUUGAGGUUUGCUCGUCUCUUUCCAGCCAUUUCUCCCUCAAUCAGUGGCAACCUCCUCCAUCACUCAGGGAUGUCUUGGCUAAAGAUGAUGGAACUGGAAAAGCAAAUUUGCUAAUUGGAGAUGAGAAUUUCAAACAAAAGGUUGAAGAAGUUGAAGCUCCUCUAUAUGAAGUUUGUACAGAGUACACAAAGUUGUCAGCAACUAUAGUUUUAUACAAGAUUAAGGCUUCCAAUGAUGCAACAUAUAAGCUUUUUGACGAGCUCCUCCAAGCCCUAAAAGACAUGCUUCUGGAAGGUUUACUUGUGCGGCAUGUGGAAGCAUGUAUAUACCGGCAAUAGAAGAUUUCUUCCACCUUCCCAUAAGUUUCGCGAGAAGGGUAAAUGGUUUGAUGGGAAUUAUGAUAUUGGGCAAAAACCAAGGAUAUUGACAGGUGAAGAAGUUUUAUGUGCUUCUGAAGUAGCUGGAAGGGAUUAGGGAAAAAAGUCAACUACACAAAAUGGCACAAAAAGGAAGAUGAGUGUAAUGAAAGGCGUACAGACAACAGGAAGUGAUCCUAUUAACAUAUGAAAAAAGAAAUCAAUUUUCUUUGACUUGCUGUAUUGGAAAGUUUGACAUUUAUACUUAACAUUUAACUAUAAAGAAAAGUAUGAUUUUUUUCACAACUAAUUUUCUUAUUCUUGCUUGUUUUGCAGAAAUUAUGUUUGAGGCAUAAUUUGGACAUCAUGCAGAUAGAGAAAAUUGUUUGUGAAAGUAUCGUUGGCACAUUGCUACAUAUUAAAGGUAAAUUAAAGUAUGGAUUUAAUUGUCGUAAAGAUUUAAAGGUAUUGGGCAUUCGGCAUGAUUUAUGCAUAACUGAAGAGAAAUGAAAUAAAGUAAUAAAAUAUUUACAAUUUACAACAAUUAAGCGAAAAUAUAUAAGAAAAGAUGU